rnacentral:rRNA from 1 species
CCUACGGGCGGCUGCAGUAGGGAAUAUUGCUCAAUGGGGGAAACCCUGAAGCAGCAACGCCGCGUGGAGGAUGAAGGUUUUCGGAUUGUAAACUCCUUUUGUUAGAGAAGAUAAUGACGGUAUCUAACGAAUAAGCACCGGCUAACUCCGUGCCAGCAGCCGCGGUAAUACGGCGGGUGCAAGCGUUACUCGGAACCACUGGGCGUAAAGGGCGCGUAGGCGGGAUAGCAAGUCGGAUGUGAAAUACGAUGGCUUAAACAGAGAACUGCAUUUGAAACUGGUAUUCUAGAGUAUGGGAGAGGUAGGUGGAAUUCUUGGUGUAGGGGUAAAAUCCGUAGAGAUCAAGAGGAAUACUCAGUGCGAAGGCGACCUGCUAGAACAUAACUGACGCUGAUGCGCGAAAGCGUGGGGAGCAAACAGGAGUAGAUACCCGGGUAGUC